UACACACACACACACACAUCUCAACAGGACGCCCCUCCUCGAGGACGACGUUCCGGGAGGGAGGGGGAAAUGCCGCCCCCUCCUUUUUCAUCGUGGCAAAGAGUCUCCUUUCGCUCGCUCCGCGGGGUAGGCCGCAGUUUCUCCGCUUCUCCUGCAGGCAGCCCGCCGAGUUUGACUCCAGGAGCCGCUGGGAUCGUGCUGGUCAAGAGCGGUGCCGCCUCUUAACCUACCCGGGACCUUUCGUUUCGUGCCCUCCUUCCAUAUCUCGUCCACUCGAUCCCAGCAUAACUUCAGCGCCGGUCACGUCCCUCGCGGACGGAUCAUCCUCGCCACUCUUCACUCCAUUCACCCAUCGAUAGAAUCACCCAAUCCCCCUUUGGUCGAUCAUAUUUCUCCCGGUUUGAGCGGUAUGCUGUGAAAAACACGCAAAAACCAGUCUCUCUUCCCCCCCUCCCAUUUGUUGAAUGUUUCAUUAGUAAUUAAAAAUACACGUUGUUUUAUAACUACAAGAGCUGGAAGAUGUGUACAUUUUAAUAUGUAGUUUAAUUUUGAAAGCAAAAUAUUGUUUGGAAUAGUCUUUACGGGUUUAUUCAUCUUUAUUUCACUAAAAGGGUGUGUAAAUUCUUUCCCUUGAACAACAACAUAGAGGCAAAGAUAGGAAAAUACUUUGUUUUAGCUGGAUUAUGACUUUUGCAUUGGAAUCUCUGGUAUUUAAAUAGUUGAAUUUAGCUAUUCACUAUUACUAAGUACUAACUGAAGUGGGCUCAUAAAACUUCAUAAUUUAUAACUACAGUAGCAUAUAUGCUAAUAGGCAGUUUUCUGGAGCUUGCUAAAUAUUGUAGUAUGAAGAAAAAAUGACUAAAAUUUUCAAAAAACCUGAUAGUUUGUUGCCUUACUUUAAUACUGUGGACAUAGCAUAUGCAUCAAAAAUAAUCACUUGGUCAAAUCAGAGAAAUUUGUAUUGUGUUAUUAAAUGAUGAAAGAUUUAAUUAUAACUAUUUCAGUCCUUUCACCUGCUUCUCACAAAUCACUUACAGAAUGAGCUUCAUCAAACUCAGUGGAAUUUACUUGCAAUCAAGUUAAAGCUUGCCAGACUAUGCUUUUUCUCCAUGAGGUAUACAGUAUUCCUUCACAACUAUAUAGUAUCUGUGAGGCAUGGGUUUAACUCAGGUACUCAGUCAUAGGGCUCUUUGUCUUGUGUGCCUAAUCAUUGCACACAGAUGUCAUUGUAACUUUCCCCCCUGCUAUAUCUUCAUGACAUGCUUUUUUUAAUUUGCACCUGCCAGAGGCUCCUGGGGCAGGCCCUAAACUGUUUCAUUUUUAAAGCACGGUUGUCCCUUUUCCAACAGGACUUUUUGGUGAAUAUCAUCUGGCUUGCUUCCCUGACCAUUUGUUGAUUCAGUCAAGGGUUGGGAUCCAUCUAGCUUUUUUUUUGUCUGCUGUAUGCAUGCCCUCCCACCUGAGAUCAUUGGACAUUGCCCUCUAUAGCUAUUUUAGCUUCGUCUGCAAGAGAUACCAGAUGCCUGGUUGUCAGAGGCAAUCUCCCCAUCUCCCUGGGGCUUCCUGUGGAUUUGGUUGCCAGAACCUUAGACCUCUUUUUAAAAGCCUAUGUUUGGAAGUAAGCUGACUGACCAGCCAAAGGGACUGCACAAAAGAGUCCAUUCCACCUAGCAUUCCCUACUUCAGUGGCUGCUGCUGCUGUGCCACCUCUUAAAUGGGCAUUUUGAUAAGUGGCUAAACUUGCCUUUCUAAUCCUCUGUCUAAACUCAACCCACCUCACAUUCAGGAGAGUAAUCUAGGGCUUUUUUACCCUUUGCUGGCAAUAAAUAAAGGCAAUAGCAAUACUACUGUAUGACAGAACAGGAAUGGGCAAUGAGGGCAAAACAGUUUAUGCCUCUGCAUUUUUUACUACAGCAGGGACUGGUAGAUUGCACUUUGAGAAGGGCCUGUAGAUUUUCUUUUGUUAUUUUUAAAGAUGAACUUCUUUAUUUUUCUUAGAGGAGAGAUUACUGCUGUAGAAUAAAAGGCAUGUGUAACUGUACAGGUCUGUAACGGAUAAAAUUCACUUUCACAAAAACCAUCACAUUCACAUAACAUCUGUCUCACACUGCAAGCCUAUAGCUAUACUGCAUAUUUGGGUUUAACAGACCUUUUGAUGGCAAAUAAAUAACAUAAUCAGAAAACAGGUUUACUAUAGUACAGUAAACUAUUUUUUAAAUAUGCCUACCUCGUGCAGAUGGAAAUUUCUGUCUGGCAAAAAUAAGGUAUUUCCUAACUAUGGAAAAUUACCUGAGUUGAUAUCUAUAUACAGAACAUAAUGUGUGAAGGCUAUGUGAAGAUACGCUGCAAUUCUCUACAGACUUUCCUAGUGGGAAAUGGUGUAUCACAGAGAACUAAACAGAGGUUACCUCUGAUGAAAUGGCAUUAUACUCUUACUUUAGUGCAACGUUGGCAGAAAAAUAGAUGAGUCUGUUAGUAAAACCUCAGAUUAUCUGCAGUAAAUUGGCAAGGAUUUAUCAUUCCCACACAAAAAAAUAGCCAAAUCUAAAGUAUAUUAAUUACAUUAAAUUAGUAUCUGAAGAGAAGCAAGCCUGGCUAACUAGGAGGAUACUUUAGUAUGAAUUCCAUUUACCGUACCUAUUUUACAAAUUCCUAGUUAUCAGAUUUGUUUCUAAAUAUAUAUUUUUUCACCAGGGUAUGGUUUGUUGAAAUUUCUAAACAAAUUUCACAUGUCUGAAAUGAAUCACUCUGGCCACAGCAGAUAACAUCGUGAUUUAAAUGGAUAUAUGUAACUAAUAUAUAUUUUGACUGCAAACUUUUUAAAAAUAGUUGGAAUUUGAUGUUUCUAAGUUCAAUUAUCUAUAGCUAAAAUGUUAGAAUGAAUAGAAGAAUGUAAAAAAUGUUUACAGUAGAUUUAAAGAUUACCUUAAGGUGCACUGUUCCAAAUUGAGUCAGAAUAUUUUCCAACUGCCUCUUGCCCAGUAUUUGUAUUCCUCUGAGAUAAUGUUGGUUUUAUUGAAUAUUAACAUUUUAAAAAAUUAUGUUUAGCCAAUCCCCUCUUGAACAAAAACUGUACAAGUGAUUCAAGUCAUUAUUUUUAUUUAAAAGGAUAAUGGCAUUAAUAAAGAUUUCAAUUCA